GGAAGGAUGGCAGAGUGGUUGAAUGCGCCGGUCUUGAAAACCGGAGUUCCGUUAUACGGAACCGCAGGUUCGAAUCCUGCUCCUUCCG
rnacentral:tRNA from 1 species